rnacentral:lncRNA from 1 species
AAUUCUCUUUAAAUUCCUUUAAUCCAGAGCCAACAUUAAUGAUACAAAGGCAAAUGCACCAUCUGUAGAAAUGCAAAUGGAUGAAAGGUAAUUAAAGGUAAAUCACUAGGGUAUAAAAGUUAACAAAAGCUCCACUUUAAUUUAGUCAGAGAAUCCCUGAAGGCAGGAAGCUUUGAACAUCCAACAAAAGUUGAUCAACCGUAGAAUAUAAAAUCAUGUUUCGUAUACUUUAAGGUCACUAUUAAGACUUAAUUAAUAAUUCUCUUCCAGUUAAGAUAACUCAGGACAAGGAUGAUACACUGAUAAGCAGAAAAUGAUACUAUUCAAACAUAAGUUGAACUUAGGAGCAUAAAUAUUACUUUGAUAUAGGAACUUCAAUUUGCUUUGUUGUGCCAAAUAAGACUGAGGAAGAUAAGAAUUAAGAUAUUCCUCUGCAUUUAUGCAUCUAUCAAGCAAUUGUAGUAAAAAUUGAAUCAGAUUAUGUUGUUUGUUUAUAUUUUUAAUUUAUAUGAUCUCUUCUUCUUUGUUACUAUUUUUUAUCUCUUUUUUAACUAUAUCUUCUCUCUCCCCUGAUUGGCUAUGAAUUUUGAGCUUAUUCGUGCUUUGGAACAAACUAAUUAAUAUGUGAUCCACAUGGAAUCAACUAUCUGGAGUAGUAUAGUUAGGUCCUAUUUAAAACAAAUUGAUCAAACAGACAUUAUAAUUUAUUCUUUCGCCUGAUAUGUGCUUAACAAAAGCAUGGUUCGGGAGUUUCAAUUUAUCUUCUAAAAUUUAGUAGCUCAACCAGUUUAGUGUAGGAUAGCGUCGAUCCAUCUUUAUAGAAUACAUUAUACCUUCCAUGCACUUGAAAAUUAAAAUUGUUAUGGAGAGACGAUCAAUAUUUAAAAGUAAUCAGUAAUUUGUUAAUGCAGCUCUUUUCACUUUAGUCAUUUUUACUUUUCUAAUUUCUCCUCUUUAAGGAAGGAUAUAUUCUGUCUUAGUUACAUUUUCUGUUGACAUUUUCCUAAUCCAAAAAGAAAAAGGAAAAAGACAAGCAUAUACUCAGUCUUAAAUAUUUCUGAACCAAUCUUCCACAAUUUCUUUGCUGAUUGUUUACAGGAAGACCAAAUCAAAGCAAUCAUUACCCAAUUAUCAAAAAAUGUUCAGACUAUUUCAUACCUAUUUGAUAACGGAUACACGCAUACAGCUACCAAAUCUGAGAUACGAAAAAUCGUUGCAUACGUUUGAAUGGGUUAUCGACAAAAAGACCAUAAUUGAUCCAAUUGAGAAAGACAACCCACAUGAAGAUGAGUUGCCUCCACCCAUCAGACUUACUGUUACAUCCUUUCGAGAUAUUAAAAAUCA